AUAUGGCCCGAUCGAUUGGAAUUCACCGUCCCGGAAAAAACGCACAACCACCAUGCGUGCCGCCGGCCUCCCCACGGCCCGCGCGCGGCCGCGCCGUCGCCCCCUAGCCGAGCCCCGCUGCGGCGUCGCCCACUAGUUGAGCGCCGCUUCCGCUCGACCCACGCAGCCGGCGAGCUCUUCUUCCCCAGGACGGCGUGCUCCCUUCCUCCCCAUGGACGGCGAGCCCCUUCUUCCCCCGCGGCAGGCAAGCUCCCUCUUCCCCGUGUGAGGCAAGCUCCCUGUGGCCGGCAUACCCUGCAGCUCGUGUACCUGCCGCCAUGGCCGCAGCUCGAACGCGGCCUGUGGCUGCCAUGGCCGCAUCCCCCGCUCCCAAUUUAUCCGUCGCCCCUGCAACCUCCAGUGUCGCUGCUGGUCCAGGUAUCGCGCCCCCCACCCCACGCGGCCGCCCAGGGCUCGAACCCGUCCGCCAUGCCCAUGCCCAUCCGCGAUUCUUCUCUUUUUCUUCAAAUUUCUGGAUGCAAUUUCUGUUUCUAGGGGAUGAAUCAUCGGACCAAUUUGAGUCAAUUUUACAAUACAGAGUGAAAUAUUUUGUUCGGCAGUAUAGGUCGCUGAAACGCGGCAGUACAGACGCGUCCUUGUGACAUCUUGUACUCAUGCGGUUGCAGAGAAGCUGGCGAAGUGGCUGGCAGUCCGAUCUGGGCCACUCUCCCUCCUGACGGCCUUUUCGCCCUUGCUCGCCUGGAGCUGCCUACUACCCUGCCGGCUCGGAUGAUACCGCCGCCGACCUGCUCCCCUGCCGCCAGCUCCGUUCCCGUUCAAGCGUCGCCUGGGCUUCGACAUUUGGGGAUUUUUGUUUCAGUUUCUUAUUCAUUGUCUUGUUUUUUCUUAGCCUGAACUUAUGUUAGUCAUUCGCUUGAACUUGUGAUAAGUAUCAUUAUGUACUUUCCUUGUGAUGACAUUAGCUGUGUGAUAAAAGAUAGAUAUAUGUAGCAUGGACGUGAAUUUUUGGCAGAAAAAUUAGUUCUAUCAGUGGGCAGAUAAUUGUCGCACAUACGCUCGCCGACGGUGUUGGUCUUCGGCCGGUCGGUUUUAGGUUCAUCCGCUUGUCGCCUGUGGACCUGCGAGUUCCACCGGCAUCACGAGUCCCCUCUGCCUCACGCUGACGUUGCACGUCCAUGCCGCUUUGCCGUCACUGAACUUCCUUGCCGCGGGGCGUAUACUUAUUUUUCCACGGCUCUUGUACUUUGUGACUUAAGAACUGCUGCUGCUUCUUGAUUUUUUUUCUAGUUAUGCAUCUUUACAGAAUAUAUGAUUGUUCUGUCCAAUAUGGUACAUGCAUCUCUGCAUUUUGAAAGUUCAGUUUUCGUUUCAGAGAAGUAAAUUCCAUGCCUUGCGCUAUAUGUUUCUUGGUCAUUAUAGGAAGCAAGUACUUCUUGGUCAUUACAGGAAGCAAGUACUGAUGGAUUAGAUUGUGAAGUAUAUGUAUUCACCAGCGGCAAUAAACCACGUUUUGGACAAGGUCUGGUGUGGUACUGAUCGUUAGGGGAUCGAGAUGCUAAGCUGUGUGAGCUUAUGACAUGGUGAUGGUUUAUGAACCAGAACUCCUCCUGGUCUCUCCCAUCUCUCUCUCUUCUCUAUCAGAAAGUGCAGUCAUUUUUCCACAGACAGUGCAUGUUUCUGCAUCUAGCAGUACUAAGUUUCUCAGCUUUUCUAUCUCACAGAUUUAAAAAGUUUUUGCUUUCUCCGAUCUGCAAGCGGCAGGCUCCCAGUGGCGUUGGUCCAGAGCUUCAAGCGUAGAUCAAGGGCGCAGCCUAACAGGUUAUGCACACAUUUAGCAAUGGAGAUACAUCGGCGGAGCUGAAGGUAUGGCCGAGUGGCGGACAAUUAGGGAGUAGAUCGGUGGAGCUGAAGGCCCAGAUGGCCGUGCAAACCUUGUUCUUCCACCGCUGCUGCCAUGGCUUCUCUCACCGACGACCAACAAAGCCGGUCGGCCGUCCCCCUUGAUAGAGACGGCGACGUCGACUGCCGGCAGGGAAAUAUGACCAGCACUACCGUCCCCCAUCGUCCGUGCAGCGCCCUUUUCCUCCUACACUGUUUUGCUUCGUUCGGCAGUACAGGCGAGUUCAGAGAAGAAGUGUACUCUGUUAUAAAGCAGAAGCACAAACGUAUAGUACAUGGAUAAUGCUAGGAUUUCAUUUA